GACGAACGCUGGCGGCGUGCUUAACACAUGCAAGUCGAACGGAAAGGCCCUGCUUUUGUGGGGUGCUCGAGUGGCGAACGGGUGAGUAACACGUGAGUAACCUGCCCUUGACUUUGGGAUAACUUCAGGAAACUGGGGCUAAUACCGGAUAGGAGCUCCUGCUGCAUGGGGGGGGUUGGAAAGUUUCGGCGGUGGGGGAUGGACUCGCGGCUUAUCAGCUUGUUGGUGGGGUAGUGGCUUACCAAGGCUUUGACGGGUAGCCGGCCUGAGAGGGUGACCGGGGACAUGGGGACUGCGAUACGGACCAGACUCCUAUGGGAGGCAGUAGUGGGGAGUCUUGCAGAAUGGGCGGACGCCUGAUGCAGAAACGCCGCGUGCGGGAUGACGGGCUUCGGGUUGUAAACCGCUUUCGCCUGUGACGAAGCGUGAGUGACGGUAAUGGGUAAAGAAGCACCGGCUAACUACGUG
rnacentral:rRNA from 1 species